CUAUGACUAACACUGAAGCUAGGAUCAUCUCUGCUACGAGUAAAGGAUUAUUAGAAUAUCUCUUCAAGCAACCUAAGGCUUCAGGAGCAUCUAUAACCACGUCUUCUAGAAGUUUUUAACCUCCGGCUUAUUUUCUAAAGAUUUGAGACCUAGCCUUUGCCUCUUAAUCUGGUCAGAGUAUGAAUGAAUGCAGUUCACCAAAGAAGCAAUACUGAAAGUAUUCUCCAAGUUAGCACUUCUGUCACUGACCAGGAAAGAGAAGCCUGAGAUGAAAUGUCCCAGAAAUAGUGAGUGAAGGAAGAACUACUUGGAGUGCUGCAAAAUGUUUUCAAGGACAUACCUAAAAAGGCAGGAAAUUUUGGACACUAGUUCUCAAGAGUGUAAUUCCCCUCAAACAUCAUAUAGGAAAUGCUCAUGGAUAGAACAUCUGCUUCUACGGCUGCUCUGCAUCCCCCAGUGAGAGGAUACACCUCAAAAGGUCCAAGAGCAGAUUUUCAGUUCUCACCAGAGAUACAUUUGUGCAUCAUUAUUUAUUUAACUUUAACCUUACUGCAUGUCAUAAAUCUUUGACAGGUGGGUUAAAGAUGAGUUUUCCACAUGUUUUCUCAGGAAUUGCUUUGUAAACCAUGAAGUGCAAAGGUCACAGUCAUGUUAGUUACCACAAGCUUGCUCUCAGACCUAAUCUAGGAAAACCAAAGCUGCAAACAGGAGGGCAUCUUGGUUCAAUGAUGCUAUUAUUUAUUAAAAAAAAAAACCCAACAACAAAACUGUGCUUAAAUGUGUAGAAGUUAG
rnacentral:lncRNA from 1 species